GAUGAACGCUGGCGGCGUGCCUAAUACAUGCAAGUCGAGCGAACAGACGAGGAGCUUGCUCCUCUGACGUUAGCGGCGGACGGGUGAGUAACACGUGGAUAACCUACCUAUAAGACUGGGAUAACUUCGGGAAACCGGAGCUAAUACCGGAUAAUAUAUUGAACCGCGUGGUUCAAUAGUGAAAGACGGUUUUGCUGUCACUUAUAGAUGGAUCCGCGCCGCAUUAGCUAGUUGGUAAGGUAACGGCUUACCAAGGCAACGAUGCGUAGCCGACCUGAGAGGGUGAUCGGCCACACUGGAACUGAGACACGGUCCAGACUCCUACGUGAGGCAGCAGUAGGGAAUCUUCCGCAAAGGGCGAAAGCUUGACGGAGCAACGCCGCGUGAGUGAUGAAGGUCUUCGGAUCGUAAAACUCUGUUAUUAGGGAAGAACAAAUGUGUAAGUAACUAUGCACGUCUUGACGGUACCUAAUCAGAAAGCCACGGCUAACUACGUG
rnacentral:rRNA from 1 species